rnacentral:rRNA from 1 species
UACGUAGGGUGCAAGCGUUGUCCGGAAUUAUUGGGCGUAAAGAGCUCGUAGGCGGUCUGUCGCGUCUGCUGUGAAAAACUCGGGGGCUUAACCCCCGGGCCUGCAGUGGGUACGGGCAGACUAGAGUGCGGUAGGGGAGACUGGAAUUCCUGGUGUAGCGGUGAAAUGCGCAGAUAUCGGGAGGAACCACGGUGCGAAGGCGGUCCGCUGGGGUGUUGCUGACGCUGAGGCGCGACAGCGUGGGGAGCAAACAGG